rnacentral:rRNA from 1 species
UACAGAGGUCUCAAGCGUUGUUCGGAUUCAUUGGGCGUAAAGGGUGCGUAGGUGGCGCUGUAAGUCGGGUGUGAAAUUUCGGAGCUUAACUUCCGAAACUGCAUUCGAUACUGCGGUGCUUGAGGACUGGAGAGGAGACUGGAAUUCGAUGGUGUAGCAGUGAAAUGCGUAGAGAUCAUGAGGAAGACCAGUGGCGAAGGCGGGUCGUC